rnacentral:ncRNA from 1 species
AUGCUGCCUGAUCCGGCCUGAUAUGGCCGCUUCGGUACACAAAUGCUGCAAAUUUUUGGAAAUUUUAGAUGCAAUGAUAUCAGCAUUUUCUGCGAAAAUGGUAAAUUCGGAUUUUACUCGUCGAGGCGGUUCGAACAUGGAGUGAUAGGGCUGAUGAAGAACGGUUUUUGAUAGGACAGAUGCUGCCUGAUCCGGCCUAUCCAUUGCCGAAAGGCAUUGGUAAACCGUUGAAACUCUUCCGUGACCGGGAUAGGGAAUUGUAAUUAUUUCCCUUGAACGAGGAAUUCCUAGUAAGUGUGAGUCAUCAGCUCACGCUGAUUACGUCCCUGCCAUUUGUACACACCGCCCGUCGCUGUCCGGGACUGAGCUGUCUCGAGAGGACUGCGGACUGCUGUAUCGAGGCUUUCGGGUCGCGGUAUGGCGGGAAACAGUUCAAUCGCAAUGGCUUGAACCGGGUAAAAGUCGUAACAAGGUAUCUGUAGGUGAACCUGCAGAUGGAUCAUCG